AGAGCGGAUCCAAUACACAUC
rnacentral:miRNA from 1 species